GUACGGAGGGUGCAAGCGUUAUCCGGAUUUAUGGGUUUAAAGGGUGCGUAGGCGGUUUGAUAAGUCAGCGGUGAAAUUUUCCGGCUCAACCGGGAUACUGCCGUUGAUACUGUAAGGCUAGGAUAUGGUUGCUGUGGGUGGAAUGUGUGGUGUAGCGGUGAAAUGCUUAGAGAUCACACAGAAUAUCGAUUGCGAAGGCAGCUCACAAAGCCAUUAUUGACGCUGAGGCACGAAAGUGUGGGGAUC
rnacentral:rRNA from 1 species